AGGAACUCGGAAAAUAAAAGGAUGUAAAAUAUGAUAACAUAUACCCAAAACAUGGGAGGGUAAAGAGUAAAGAAUGGAUUCAAACUUAAGUGACCACUAAGUUAAUAUGGACUGCUAUAUGCAGCAGUGUUAUAUACAAACCUAAUGGUAACCACAAAUCAAAAACCAGUAAUAGUCACACAAAGAAUAAAGAAAAAGAAAUCCAAAUAUAUCACUAAAGAAAACCAGCAAA